GACAGAGGGUGCAAACGUUGUUCGGAAUUACUGGGCGUAAAGCGUGUGUAGGCGGCUUCCUAAGUCGGAUGUGAAAGCCCCGGGCUCAACCUGGGAAGUGCACUCGAAACUGGGAAGCUUGAGUAUCGGAGAGGUUGGUGGAAUUCUCGGUGGAGAGGUGAAAUUCGUAGAUAUCGAGGGGAACACCAGUGGCGAAGGCGGCCAACUGGACGAAUACUGACGCUGAGACACGAAAGCGUGGGGAGCAAACAGG
rnacentral:rRNA from 1 species